AGAGACAGCAGCCGCCGCGGUAAUACGAAGGGUGCAAGCGUUACUCGGAAUUACUGGGCGUAAAGCGUGCGUAGGUGGUGGUUUAAGUCCGUUGUGAAAGCCCUGGGCUCAACCUGGGAAUUGCAGUGGAUACUGGGUCACUAGAGUGUGGUAGAGGAUAGUGGAAUUUCCGGUGUAGCAGUGAAAUGCGUAGAGAUCGGAAGGAACAUCUGUGGCGAAGGCGACUAUCUGGGCCAACACUGACACUGAGGCACGAAAGCGUGGGGAGCAAACAGGAUUAGAUACCCCAGUAGUCCCUGUCUCUUAUAC
rnacentral:rRNA from 1 species